UAGGGAAUAUUGCACAAUGGGCGCAAGCCUGAUGCAGCAACGCCGCGUGAGGGACGAAUGCCUUCGGGUUGUAAACCUCUUUUAGUAGGGAAGAAGCGAAAGUGACGGUACCUGCAGAAAAAGCACCGGCUAACUACGUGCCAGCAGCCGCGGUAAUACGUAGGGUGCAAGCGUUGUCCGGAAUUAUCGGGCGUAAAGAGCUCGUAGGCGGUUUGUCGCGUCUGCUGUGAAAACCCGAGUCUCAACCUCGGGCCUGCAGUGGGUACGGGCAGACUAGAGUGCGGUAGGGGAGAUUGGAAUUCCUGGUGUAGCGGUUGAAUGCGCAGAUAUCAGGAGGAACACCAAUGGCGAAGGCAGAUCUCUGGGCCGUAACUGACGCUGAGGGACGAAAGCAUGGGGAGCGAACA
rnacentral:rRNA from 1 species